rnacentral:rRNA from 1 species
CAGUAGUCACGAGUUUGAUCAGUGGCUCAGAAUGAACGUUGGCGGCGUGGAUUAGGCAUGCAAGUCGAGCGAGAAUUUGCGAUUGGAAGCUUCGGCCGAAGAAAGUGAAGGAAAGCGGCAAACGGCGUAGUAAGGCGUAGGUACGUACCCUCGGGUCGGGAAUAGCCAUGGGAAACUGUGGUAAUGCCCGAUAAUCUCUGCGGAGCAAAGGUGUGAUUCCGCCGGAGGAGCGGCUUACGUGAUAUUAGCUAGUUGGUGGGGUAAUGGCCUACCAAGGCAACGAUGUCUAGGGGGUGUGAGAGCAUGGCCCCCACGACCGGAACUGAGACACUGUCCGGACACCUACGGGUGGCUGCAGUCGAGAAUCUUCGGCAAUGGGGGAAACCCUGACCGAGCGACGCCGCGUGCGGGAUGAAGGCCCUCGGGUUGUAAACCGCUGUCGUAAGGGAACAAAUCCAUAGGGGUACUCCCCUAUGGUUGAGUGAUCUUAGGAGGAAGGACGGGCUAAGUUCGUG